UACAGAGGUCUCAAGCGUUGUUCGGAUUCAUUGGGCGUAAAGGGUGCGUAGGUGGCGAGGUUAGUCAGGUGUGAAAUCUCGGGGCUCAACCCCGAAACUGCACUUGAUACUGCCUUGCUAGAGUACUGGAGAGGAGAUUGGAAUUUACGGUGUAGCAGUGAAAUGCGUAGAUAUCGUAAGGAAGACCAGUGGCGAAGGCGAGUCUCUGGACAGUUACUGACACUGAGGCACGAAGGCCAGGGGAGCAAACGGG
rnacentral:rRNA from 1 species